AGCAUUCAGAGAGAGUGCCUGAAGGAGCAGAGGGGACAGAAGAGUCUGUUGGCCUGGACUUUGAGAAGGCUUCCUGAAGCAGCAGGAAGAACUUGAGAAAGACCUUUAAGCAUGCUGGGAUUUGUAUUCGUGGAUGAAAGUAUGAGGGCAUCCUAGGUAGAAGAUACAGCAUGAGCAAAGGACCAGGAGCAGACAUGAAUGAGAAGAAGGGAGUCUUCACUCUGGGAAUGGGAGGAUCUUCAAUGAGCAGGGACUAAUUUUUCCAGCUGACUCUGAAUAAAGAUCUACAAAAGCUGUCA
rnacentral:lncRNA from 10 species